GACGAACGCUGGCGGCGUGCUUAACACAUGCAAGUCGAACGGACAGGCCCUGCGUUUGUGGGUUGCUCGUGUGGCGAACGGGUGAGUAACACGUGAGUAACCUGCCCUUGACUUUGGGGUAACUUCAGGAGACACCGGCUAAUACCCGGUAGGAGCUCCUGCUGCGUGGUGGGGGUUGGAAAGUGUCGGCGGUUGUGGAUGGACUGGCUGCUUAUCAGCUUGAUGGGGGGGUAGUGGCUUACCAGGGCUACGACGGGUAGCCGGCAUGGGAGGGUGACCGGCGACCUUGGGACUGAGAGACGGCCCAGACUCCUACGGGCCGCAGCAGGGGAGAGUAUUGCACAAUGGGGGGAAGUGUGAUGCAGAAGCGCCGCGAGCGGAAUGACGGCCUUCGGGUUGUAAACCGCUGUCGAAUGUGACGAAGCGUGAGUGACGGUAAUGGGUAAAAAAGCCCCGGCUAACUACGUG
rnacentral:rRNA from 1 species